UAGCCGUAAACGAUACUCGCUAGGUGUCGGCCACGGUGCCACCGUUGUCGGUGCCGUAGGGAAGCCGUGAAGCGAGCCACCUGGGAAGUACGGCCGCAAGGCUGAAACUUAAAGGAAUUGGCGGGGGGAGCACCACAACGGGUGGAGCUUGCGGUUUAAUUGGAUUCAACGCCGGAAAUCUUACCGGGACCGACAGCAACAUGAAGGCCAGGCUGAAGACUUUGCCGGAUUAGCUGAGAGGUGGUGCAUGGCGUAGUCGUGU
rnacentral:rRNA from 1 species